GCCACCAUAGCUCAGCAGGUGGAGCAGCUGACUUGUAAUCAGCAGGUCGGGGGUUCGAAUCCCUCUGGUGGCU
rnacentral:tRNA from 1 species